ACAUACGACCAUACCCACUGGAAAACUCGGGAUCCCGUCCGCUCUCCCAUCGAUAAACCAGUGAGGGCUGGAGUAGUAGUCGGGUCGGUGACGACCGGCGAAUGCCCGGUGUUGUAUGUU
rnacentral:rRNA from 1 species